AAUGAUAUAAAACAUCUGCUGGUUUGCCUUACUGCACCUGACCAAAGGAAACUCCAAUGUGGAUUGAAAUUGAAAAAUCCUAGGACCUUUAUCACAGGUGCAGAAAAAUGAAGAUUUCCCCAUCAAAUUCAGCAUGGGAGUAGCUGUCUGGAGUCAUGGUGUCUUUAGAAGAAGCAAAUGCCCUCCUAGUUUUUCCAGAGCAGCAGGGACCUACUGAGGCCUCCUAUUUGCUCCCCGAUUGCUGGACUUCAUCCUUCACAAAAAACAAAGUUCUCUCUGGAUUGCAAGGUGUCAAAUGCCUUAUAAGUUAAACAAAUUUACUUUCAUAUGUGAAUAAAAG